rnacentral:rRNA from 1 species
AGUAACGCGUGAGGAACCUGCCUCAAAGAGGGGGACAACAGUUGGAAACGACUGCUAAUACCGCAUAAGCCCACGGCUCGGCAUCGAGCAGAGGGAAAAGGAGCAAUCCGCUUUGAGAUGGCCUCGCGUCCGAUUAGCUAGUUGGUGAGGUAACGGCCCACCAAGGCGACGAUCGGUAGCCGGACUGAGAGGUUGAACGGCCGCAUUGGGACUGAGACACGGCCCAG